rnacentral:rRNA from 1 species
UACAGAGGGUGCGAGCGUUAAUCGGAAUUACUGGGCGUAAAGUGUGCGCAGGCGGCCGCGCAAGUCGAGUGUGAAAUCCCCGAGCUUAACUUGGGAAUUGCGCUCGAAACUACGUGGCUGGAGUGUGGCAGAGGAAGGUGGAAUUCCACGUGUAGCGGUGAAAUGCGUAGAGAUGUGGAGGAACACCGAUGGCGAAGGCAGCCCCCUGGGUCAAGAUUGACGCUCAUGCACGAAAGCGUGGGGAGCAAACAGG